AUUCCAUGUUGUGGACAUUUCCUCUAGAGUGUUUUGAAUCUUUCCCAAGCUUCAUAGAUAGACUCUGAUUCUUUUUGUUUGAACCCUGUGAUCUCAUCCUUCAAUUU